rnacentral:rRNA from 2 species
CCGUAGUAUCUGCCGUGUGCAUAAUACAUGCAAGUCGAUCGAACUCUGGUAUUGAUUGGUGCUUGCAUCAUGAUUUACAUUUGAGUGAGUGGCGAACUGGUGAGUAACACGUGGGAAACCUGCCCAGAAGCGGGGGAUAACACCUGGAAACAGAUGCUAAUACCGCAUAACAACUUGGACCGCAUGGUCCGAGCUUGAAAGAUGGCUUCGGCUAUCACUUUUGGAUGGUCCCGCGGCGUAUUAGCUAGAUGGUGGGGUAACGGCUCACCAUGGCAAUGAUACGUAGCCGACCUGAGAGGGUAAUCGGCCACAUUGGGACUGAGACACGGCCCAAACUCCUACGGGAGGCAGCAGUAGGGAAUCUUCCACAAUGGACGAAAGUCUGAUGGAGCAACGCCGCGUGAGUGAAGAAGGGUUUCGGCUCGUAAAACUCUGUUGUUAAAGAAGAACAUAUCUGAGAGUAACUGUUCAGGUAUUGACGGUAUUUAACCAGAAAGCCACGGCUAACUACGUGCCAGCAGCCGCGGUAAUACGUAGGUGGCAAGCGUUGUCCGGAUUUAUUGGGCGUAAAGCGAGCGCAGGCGGUUUUUUAAGUCUGAUGUGAAAGCCUUCGGCUCAACCGAAGAAGUGCAUCGGAAACUGGGAAACUUGAGUGCAGAAGAGGACAGUGGAACUCCAUGUGUAGCGGUGAAAUGCGUAGAUAUAUGGAAGAACACCAGU